GCCAAUUGGCGGCAGCUACACAUGCAGUCGAGCGGAACGAUGGAAGCUUGCUUCCAGGCGUCGAGCGGCGGACGGGUGAGUAAUGCAUAGGAAUCUGCCCGAUAGUGGGGGAUAACCUGGGGAAACUCAGGCUAAUACCGCAUACGUCCUACGGGGGAAAGCAGGGGAUCUUCGGACCUUGCGCUAUCGGAUGAGCCUAUGUCGGAUUAGCUAGUUGGUGAGGUAAUGGCUCACCAAGGCGACGAUCCGUAGCUGGUCUGAGAGGAUGAUCAGCCACACUGGGACUGAGACACGGCCCAGACUCCUACGGGAGGCAGCAGUGGGGAAUAUUGGACAAUGGGCGAAAGCCUGAUCCAGCCAUGCCGCGUGUGUGAAGAAGGCCUUCGGGUUGUAAAGCACUUUCAGCGAGGAAGAAGGCCUGGGGGUUAAUACCCCUCAGGAAGGACAUCACUCGCAGAAGAAGCACCGGCUAACUCCGUGCCAGCAGCCGCGGUAAUACGGAGGGUGCGAGCGUUAAUCGGAAUUACUGGGCGUAAAGCGCGCGUAGGUGGCUUGAUAAGCCGGUUGUGAAAGCCCCGGGCUCAACCUGGGAACGGCAUCCGGAACUGUCAGGCUAGAGUGCAGGAGAGGAAGGUAGAAUUCCCGGUGUAGCGGUGAAAUGCGUAGAGAUCGGGAGGAAUACCAGUGGCGAAGGCGGCCUUCUGGACUGACACUGACACUGAGGUGCGAAAGCGUGGGUAGCAAACAGGAUUAGAUACCCUGGUAGUCCACGCCGUAAACGAUGUCGACUAGCCGUUGGGGUCCUUGAGACCUUUGUGGCGCAGUUAACGCGAUAAGUCGACCGCCUGGGGAGUACGGCCGCAAGGUUAAAACUCAAAUGAAUUGACGGGGGCCCGCACAAGCGGUGGAGCAUGUGGUUUAAUUCGAUGCAACGCGAAGAACCUUACCUACCCUUGACAUCGUGCGAACUUGGGUAGAGAUACCUUGGUGCCUUCGGGAACGCACAGACAGUGCUGCAUGGCUGUCGUCAGCUCGUGUGUGAAAUGUGGGGUUAAGUCCGUACGAGCGCACCCAUGUCCUAUUUGCAGCGAUUCGGUCGGACUCUAGGAGACUGCGGUGACACGAAGAGUUGGGAACGACGUCAGUCAUCAUGACUACCGGUUAGGCUACACUGCUACAUGGUCGGUCAAUGCUGCCAUACCCGCAAGGUGGAACCUUAUUCCCAUUAAAAGC
rnacentral:rRNA from 1 species